rnacentral:rRNA from 1 species
AGCAGCCGCGGUAAUUCCAGCUCCAAUAGCGUAUAUUAAAGUUGUUGCAGUUAAAAAGCUCGUAGUUGAAUUUCGGGAUCAGUAAGCCGGUCGUACCUUCGGUAUGUACUGGCGUCACUGAUUCCUCCCUUCUGAUGAACCGUUAUACCAUUUAGUUGGUGUGGCGGGGAAUCAGGACUGUUACUUUGAAAAAAUUAGAGUGUUUAAAGCAAGCUCGCGCUUGAAUACAUUAGCAUGGAAUAAUAAAAUAGGACGUUUGAUCUCCUAUUUUGUUGGUUUCUAGGAUCGACGUAAUGAUUAAUAGGGAUAGUUGGGGGCAUUAGUAUUCAAUUGUCAGAGUGAAAUUCUUGGAUUUAUGAAGACUAACUACUGCGAAAGCAUUUGCCAAGGAUGUUUCAUUAAUCAAGAACGA